rnacentral:rRNA from 1 species
UCUGAGAGGAAGAUCCCCCACACUGGGACUGAGACACGGCCCAGACUCCUACGGGAGGCAGCAGUGAGGAAUAUUGGACAAUGGCCGGAAGGCUGAUCCAGCCAUGCCGCGUGCAGGAAGAAGGUUCUAUGGAUUGUAAACUGCUUUUGUAGGAGAGCAAUAAGAACUACGUGUAGUUCGAUUGAGAGUAUUCUACGAAUAAGCAUCGGCUAACUCCGUGCCAGCAGCCGCGGUAAUACGGAGGAUGCGAGCGUUAUCCGGAUUUAUUGGGUUUAAAGGGUGCGUAGGCGGUUUGGUAAGUCAGUGGUGAAAUCUUGCAGCUUAACUGUAAAAUUGCCAUUGAUACUGUCAGGCUAGAGAGUAGUUGAAGUGGGUGGAAUGUGUGGUGUAGCGGUGAAAUGCUUAGAUAUCACACAGAAUACCGAUUGCGAAGGCAGCCCGCUAAGCUAUAUCUGACGCUGAGGCACGAAAGUGUGGGGAUCAAACAGGAUUAGAUACCCUGGUAGUCCACACUGUAAACGAUGAUAACUAGCUGUUGGCGAUAUAAGGUCAGUGGCCAAGCGAAAGCGAUAAGUUAUCCACCUGGGGAGUACGACCGCAAGGUUGAAACUCAAAGGAAUUGACGGGGGCCCGCACAAGCGGAGGAACAUGUGGUUUAAUUCGAUGAUACGCGAGGAACCUUACCCGGGCUUGAACGGUGCAGGAAUGAUCCAGAGAUGGGUCAGUCAGCAAUGACUUGCAUCGAGGUGCUGCAUGGUUGUCGUCAGCUCGUGCCGUGAGGUGUCGGCUUAAGUGCCAUAACGAGCGCAACCCUUGUCGUUAGUUGCCAUCAGGUAAAGCUGGGGACUCUAGCGAGACUGCCACCGUAAGGUGCGAGGAAGGGGGGGAUGACGUCAAAUCAGCACGGCCCUUACGUCCGGGGCGACACACGUGUUACAAUGGGGGGUACAGAGGGCUGCUACAGCAGUGAUGUGAUGCCAAUCUCGAA